GGACCUGUGGUUUAGUGGUUAUAACGUUUCGUUUACAAUUGGAGAUUGACCCGAAAAGGUCCUCGGUUCGAUCCCGAGCAGGUUCA